rnacentral:lncRNA from 1 species
ACAAGAUAAUUUUGUAAACUGAAUUAAAGCCUCAUUUUUGUCAGAUUCCGAAAGGGAAGUUUCAGUCACUUUGGCUAAAUUUGAAGGACAUGUCGCGGCAAACGUUGUCUAUCGGCCCACUACACGCAAACCGACAGCCGCUGACCCAAAGCCCCGUGACUUUCCCGGGUAGUAAACGCAAGCAUCGGCUCACUGCCCAUGCACCGACUGUCUCCCCGCGCCUUUCCCGGGUGUAACAAGCGAGUAUCGGCUCACCGUCCGUGCGCCAGGCUGAAGACCAGCACUGGAGAUCCAAAGGCGCAAUUUCUGGCAUUCGUCUCCUCCAACCGCGGACAUCAGAAUUUAGAGGGACUACCAUCAGCUGGCGAGCUUGAACAGCGUCAACAGAGCCGGGCCGGGGACAGGACAACACUCUGUCAGACGCAGAGGUUUUUGGAGAAGUAG